rnacentral:rRNA from 1 species
AUGAAGUUAUGUGUGUUUCUGUCGAGUAGGUUCCCUCAACCCAACCAGAGCAAAGAAAACACCACAUCAACCAAAAGAAGAAGAGAAUCAGAUCGCGUCAUGGGAAAGCCAGGUACAAAGUAUCUCCCUCAAAAGGCGAAGGAUAAGGUGAAGAAGGCACCGUCUGCUUCGUCUAAGAAGAAGAAGGUGGUGACCAAGACGAAACCCACGACCUCAAAGAAGAAGCAGACACUGCUGUCUAAGAAGAAGCCCAAAAACAAGAAGGUUUCUUGGUCAGAAGAAGGCCAGGUCACCGGCGGGUCCGCCCACAAUCCCAAGAACACCAACGCCGGCGGCUACCUCAAGACCGUCAACAACAGUCCCUCCGAUGGUUGCAACAACAACACUCAAAUGAGCUCGGCAGCAGAAAGGCACUUUCUGGAACUUGAGCGAGCCAUAGGCACUCUUGCAAAAAUGCCCCUCUAA